rnacentral:misc_RNA from 1 species
CCCUGAAACCUGUCGAGUCAGGUAUCUCAUUUAGUCUCCCAGCUAGGCCUCCAGUGAUGGGAGAAUCCACAACUCUUGAUUUGAUAAUAUGUAUUAAUCUAUCGCAUUCUUCCCUCGAGAAAGUUUCCCGCAUGAUAAUCUGUUCAAUUGCACGCUUUGUUUCACUCUUCCACUCUAAAACCUGGGGAUCUUUCCUUGAGGCAUUUAUCUUUUCAAAUGUCUGAUUCUUUUCCAGUCUGG